rnacentral:rRNA from 1 species
CCUACGGGGGGCUGCAGUGGGGAAUAUUGGACAAUGGGGGGAACCCUGAUCCAGCCAUGCCGCGUGUGUGAAGAAGGCCCUCGGGUUGUAAAGCACUUUCAGUGAGGAAGAACGCCUGGUGGUUAAUACCCAUGAGGAAAGACAUCACUCACAGAAGAAGCACCGGCUAACUCCGUGCCAGCAGCCGCGGUAAUACGGAGGGUGCGAGCGUUAAUCGGAAUUACUGGGCGUAAAGCGCGCGUAGGUGGCUUGAUAAGCCGGUUGUGAAAGCCCCGGGCUCAACCUGGGAACGGCAUCCGGAACUGUCAAGCUAGAGUGCAGGAGAGGAAGGUAGAAUUCCCGGUGUAGCGGUGAAAUGCGUAGAGAUCGGGAGGAAUACCAGUGGCGAAGGCGGCCUUCUGGACUGACACUGACACUGAGGUGCGAAAGCGUGGGUAGCAAACAGGAUUAGAUACCCGGGUAGUC